GAGGACUUAGCUUAAUUAAAGUAAUUGAUUUGCAUUCAGUAGAUGUAAGAUAUAGUCUUGCAGUCCUUA
rnacentral:tRNA from 2 species